rnacentral:rRNA from 1 species
CCUACGGGAGGCAGCAGUGAGGAAUAUUGGUCAAUGGGCGCAAGCCUGAACCAGCCAAGUCGCGUGAGGGAUGACGGUCCUAUGGAUUGUAAACCUCUUUUGUCGGGGAGCAAGGCCCGCCACGUGUGGCGGGAAGGAGAGUACCCGAAGAAAAAGCAUCGGCUAACUCCGUGCCAGCAGCCGCGGUAAGACGGAGGAUGCGAGCGUUAUCCGGAUUUAUUGGGGUUACAGGGUGCGUAGGCGGAAGGUUAAGUCAGCGGUCAAAUGUCGGUGCUCAACACCGGCCUGCCGUUGAAACUGGUCGUCUUGAGUGAGCGAGAAGUAUGCGGAAUGCGUGGUGUAGCGGUGAAAUGCAUAGAUAUCACGCAGAACUCCGAUUGCGAAGGCAGCAUACCGGCGCUCAACUGACGCUGAGGCACGAAAGCGUGGGGAUCGAACAGGAUUAGAUACCCGUGUAGUC